UACGGAGGGGGCUAGCGUUGUUCGGAAUUACUGGGCGUAAAGCGCACGUAGGCGGCUUUGUAAGUUAGAGGUGAAAGCCCGGGGCUCAACUCCGGAAUUGCCUUUAAGACUGCAUCGCUAGAAUUGUGGAGAGGUGAGUGGAAUUCCGAGUGUAGAGGUGAAAUUCGUAGAUAUUCGGAAGAACACCAGUGGCGAAGGCGACUCACUGGACACAUAUUGACGCUGAGGCACGAAAGCGUGGGGAGCAAACAGG
rnacentral:rRNA from 1 species